AUUGAACGCUGGCGGCAUGCUUUACACAUGCAGGUCGAACGGUAACAGGCCGCAAGGUGCUGACGAGUGGCGAACGGGUGAGUAAUGCAUCGGAACGUGCCCAGUCGUGGGGGAUAACGCAGCGAAGGCUGUGCUAAUACCGCAUACGAUCUAUGGAUGAGAGCGGGGGACCGUAAGGCCUCGCGCGAUUGGAGCGGCCGAUGUCAGAUUAGGUAGUUGGUGGGGUAAAGGCCUACCAAGCCGACGAUCUGUAGCUGGUCUGAGAGGACGACCAGCCAAACUGGGACUGAGACACGGCCCAGACUCCUACGGGAGGCAGCAGUGGGGAAUUUUGGACAAUGGGCGCAAGCCUGAUCCAGCAAUGCCGCGUGCAGGAAGAAGGCCUUCGGGUUGUAAACUGCUUUUGUACGGAACGAAACGGUCUGGGUUAAUACCCUGGGCUAAUGACGGUACCGUAAGAAUAAGCACCGGCUAACUACGUGCCAGCCGCCGCCGUAAUAC
rnacentral:rRNA from 1 species